UACGUAGGGUCCGAGCGUUGUCCGGAAUUACUGGGCGUAAAGGGCGCGUAGGCGGCUGUGCAAGUCAGAUGUGAAAGCCCUGGGCUCAACCCAGGAUGUGCAUUUGAUACUGCGCGGCUAGAGUGUCGGAGAGGAUGGUGGAAUUCCCAGUGUAGAGGUGAAAUUCGUAGAUAUUGGGAAGAACACCGGUGGCGAAGGCGACCAUCUGGACGACAACUGACGCUGAGGCGCGAAAGCGUGGGGAGCAAACAGG
rnacentral:rRNA from 1 species